CACUCCUGCGGGAGGCAGCAGUAGGGAAUCUUCGGCAAUGGGGGCAACCCUGACCGAGCAACGCCGCGUGAGUGAAGAAGGUUUUCGGAUCGUAAAGCUCUGUUGUAAGUCAAGAACGAGUGUGAGAGUGGAAAGUUCACACUGUGACGGUAGCUUACCAGAAAGGGACGGCUAACUACGUGCCAGCAGCCGCGGUAAUACGUAGGUCCCGAGCGUUGUCCGGAUUUAUUGGGCGUAAAGCGAGCGCAGGCGGUUUGAUAAGUCUGAAGUUAAAGGCUGUGGCUCAACCAUAGUUCGCUUUGGAAACUGUCAAACUUGAGUGCAGAAGGGGAGAGUGGAAUUCCAUGUGUAGCGGUGAAAUGCGUAGAUAUAUGGAGGAACACCGGUGGCGAAAGCGGCUCUCUGGUCUGUAACUGACGCUGAGGCUCGAAAGCGUGGGGAGCGAACAGGAUUAGAAACCCUAGUAGUCCCAUGA
rnacentral:rRNA from 1 species